rnacentral:sRNA from 16 species
GGUGUUCCUUAUCUAUCUUUAAUAUUGGUUUAGUUGGAGCCUGUCUUCCUAUGCUCUGGCCGUCAGAACAUACGAAGACAGGCCCAUAGCUUCUGCUGCCGCGUGGG